ACGUAGGGUGCGAGCGUUAAUCGGAAUUACUGGGCGUAAAGCGGGCGCAGACGGUUACUUAAGCAGGAUGUGAAAUCCCCGGGCUCAACCCGGGAACUGCGUUCUGAACUGGGUGACUCGAGUGUGUCAGAGGGAGGUAGAAUUCCACGUGUAGCAGUGAAAUGCGUAGAGAUGUGGAGGAAUACCGAUGGCGAAGGCAGCCUCCUGGGACAACACUGACGUUCAUGCCCGAAAGCGUGGGUAGCAAACAGGAUUAGAUACCCUGGUAGUCCACGCCCUAAACGAUGUCAAUUAGCUGUUGGGCAACCUGAUUGCUUGGUAGCGUAGCUAACGCGUGAAAUUGACCGCCUGGGGAGUACGGUCGCAAGAUUAAAACUCAAAGGAAUUGACGGGGACCCGCACAAGCGGUGGAUGAUGUGGAUUAAUUCGAUGCAACGCGAAGAACCUUACCUGGUCUUGACAUGUACGGAAUCCUCUGGAGACGGAGGAGUGCCUUCGGGAGCCGUAACACAGGUGCUGCAUGGCUGUCGUCAGCUCGUGUCGUGAGAUGUUGGGUUAAGUCCCGCAACGAGCGCAACCCUUGUCAUUAGUUGCCAUCAUUCAGUUGGGCACUCUAAUGAGACUGCCGGUGACAAGCCGGAGGAAGGUGGGGAUGACGUCAAGUCCUCAUGGCCCUUAUGACCAGGGCUUCACACGUCAUACAAUGGUCGGUACAGAGGGUAGCCAAGCCGCGAGGCGGAGCCAAUCUCACAAAACCGAUCGUAGUCCGGAUUGCACUCUGCAACUCGAGUGCAUGAAGUCGGAAUCGCUAGUAAUCGCAGGUCAGCAUACUGCGGUGAAUACGUUCCCGGGUCUUGUACACACCGCCCGUCACACCAUGGGAGUGGGGGAUACCAGAAGUAGGUAGGGUAACCGCAAGGAGUCCGCUUACCACGGUAUGCUUCAUGACUGGGGUGAAGUCGUAACAAGGUAGCCGUAGGGGAACC
rnacentral:rRNA from 1 species